GGAAGGGUAGCGAAGAGGCUAAACGCGGCGGACUGUAAAUCCGCUCCUUCGGGUUCGGGGGUUCGAAUCCCUCCCCU
rnacentral:tRNA from 1 species